UAUACAGAAAUUAAACCCAGUUUAGUGCAUGUCUCCUAUGUAAUCAAAACCUACCGUGUCUAUAAAUUGAGAUUUUUCAAAAUCAUGUCCUUGAACUUGCUGUAUUCCCACAGGUUCAGCUGCAGAACAUGGUGCUGCACUGUUUGUUAGUGUAGGUGGAAGGAAUCCAUGCAGCAGUGGAAAGGAAGGCAUUCUGACUCCAUAACUUGUUUACAUUUCAAAAGGCUUUUGAGAGGUAUAAUCACAAGAGAAAAAGAGAAGUGAGGAAGUUAAAGUACAGUAAUUCAUCAAAAGACUAUGUGACAAUCGUAUUACACUGACCUGGUGAGGCAAGUGAGGCUGGAGACUGUGGAGGACAACUUUAACUGGAUCUGCCUGGGAUAGCAGCAUCCUUGUGUUCUGAGGAAGGCACAUCCCAUUCUGUUGUGUGCCUCUUGGACAUCUCCCUAAUUUGAAACAGAAACAUCACCACCCCAUGAAGCUUUUGAAAAUAAUUGAGGCAAAGAAGCUACUACUAAGAGGACACCAUGCUUUAAUGAUUCUAACUGAAGGAAAAGGUGUAAGAAUUGUGGAAUUGGUGAUAGAAACUGUGUCAGAGAAGGAUGAAGAGUAAACCAGAACUGCUGGUGUUGAAAAUGCCUUGCAAUUUAAGUAAGAAGAAAUAUCAAAUAUCUCCCUGAAGCUGAAGAAUUUGAGAAAAUUACAUGUGAGGAGUUAAAAAACUUGGAAAUUACUUAAAAGAUCCAUGAAACACUUGAAAGCAACAAGCCAGCAUCCAAACAAAAGAGGAUUGUCAUCUGGCACUGCUGCUGCCCACUCUUCAAAACAGAAAGCAUUCCUGAAUUCAGUGGGUCUGUUUUCCUAGCAGACAAAACAAUUUGUUUGAUGCUAGGUUGUUAACCCAAGUCAGCUUUGGCUGACCUACAGCUAAUCUUUUCAGUCAGGAGACUGAACAUCCCAAACUUAGCUCCUUCUGGCUAAUCCAGGUGAAUUUAGCACAAAGAAGAUUCCUCUGCCACCUCAUCCACGUGAAUUUGUUUCUGUGCAAAUGUUAUGUUGGGUAUUAUGAGCAGAAAGUGACACACGUGUUUGUGCCUUCUAAAUAAAAGCCUUUU
rnacentral:lncRNA from 1 species